CAGCAGCCGCGGUAAUACGUAGGUGGCAAGCGUUGUCCGGAAUUAUUGGGCGUAAAGCGCGCGCAGGCGGUCCUUUAAGUCUGAUGUGAAAUCUUGCGGCUCAACCGCAAGCGGUCAUUGGAAACUGGGGUACUUGAGUGCAGGAGAGGAAAGCGGAAUUCCAUGUGUAGCGGUGAAAUGCGUAGAGAUAUGGAGGAACACCAGUUGCGAAGGCGGCUUUCUGGCCUGUAACUGACGCUGAGGCGCGAAAGCGUGGGGAGCAAACAGGAUUAGAUUCCCUGGUAGUCCACGCCGUAAACGAUGAGUGCUAAGUGUUGGAGGGCUUCCACCCUUCAGUGCUGCAGCAAACGCAUUAAGCACUCCGCCUGGGGAGUACGGUCGCAAGACUGAAACUUAAAGGAAUUGGCGGG
rnacentral:rRNA from 1 species